rnacentral:lncRNA from 1 species
CAUUACUCUGCUCUCCUCCCCACUGAUAGCUGAUGUGUGGGGAGCGUUCUGGCGCACUAUGGCUGCCGUCGCAUCAUCCAGGUGGGGCUGCACACUGGGGGUGGAGGGGAUCCCCAUUACCUGUAAAGCGCUUUGAGUGGAGUGUCCAGAAAAGCGCUAUAUAAGUGUAAGCAAUUAUUAUUAUUAUUAAUUAUUACGGGGUAGAGCACUUGGAAAAUGGAGGGGUGACUGGAUGCUCUUCGGCAGCGCAGUACCCCUGUCCUCCUGUCAGGGUACACGCAAGAAUCACCCCCCCCCCGUCUCCUCGCAGGGCACGACGGUGUGUCACACGGUGGUGCUGGGCGUGGGUGUCAUCGUGCUCUUCUCCAGCCGGGCCUGCUACAACCUGGCCGUGCUGGUGCUGUCCCAGAGCCACAAGGUGGAGUCCUUCGACUACGACUGGUACAACAUCUCCGACCAGGCAGACCUGCGCAGCGAGAUGGGCGACUGGGGGUACCUGGUGUUCGGGGCGAUCCUGUUCAUCUGGGAGCUGCUGCCCACCGCCCUGCUCAUCGCCAUCUUCAGAGUGAGGCGCCCCCCGCGGGACACGGGCAGCAGUGUGGCUAUCGGCACGCGGGGGCCACGCUCCUACUUCUUCGAUGAUCCUCAAGGGGGAGAGAGCGACCCAGGGGGCCCCUGGGGCCAUGGCACUGCUCAGCCUAACAGCUGGUACCAGUCGAGCGAGUCCUCCUGGUUCGGAUCCGGUGAGACGGCACCCCUGCUCUUCGCACGAGACAUUCAGCAGACCAAUCAGCACCACUCCUUGUACUCCACCCCUCAGAACUGACCAGUCGCGGCCCGACUUGGCAGUCCGGGCACCAGGAAUCGACCGAUGAUGGUCUGAAAGAUUGCACUACGAACAACGGACCAAUCGCAGCCGGAGUCUGUGGCACACCCACGUCUCGGGACUGACCCAUCGCAGCCAGAGUCUGUGGCACGCCCACGUCUCGGGACUGACCCAUCGCAGCCAGAGUCUUUCAUUCUUGGACAAUCCCUGCCCGUCUGUCCUCCGAACUUUCUACUGGUGACUGGUCAGUACUGUGCCCUUGUGCUCCAACACUCCUCCUACCAGAACCAAAAGUCUCGACAGAAACAGGGACUGAGGGACAGCGGGACCGGUCACCUGUCCAGCCCGAGCAGGUGAGUUCGGCCCUGCAGCUCUGACCCACUCGGAGCAAUGGCUGCUGUCUGGACCGUGCAGGACUGUCUGCUCACCCAGAUGAUGGGGGUCUUACUCCAGACAGCACCGCGCUGAAUGGCGCCCCUCUCACCACCGGGAGGCUGUUUCCUGUUCUCCGCUGGGACGGGGAGCACAGGAACUACGCUCUGUUAAAACUGGACCGCCCCGAGCCACAGCGGGAUCGGUGGGACAGGACGUCGUGCUGUAGGGGGCGCCGUCGAGCUGCGCAGCGGUGCACAGCUGCUGUGCUUUUGUUUCCUAGGAGAGUCCCCGCGUGUCAGAUCUCACACUCUCACCAGCGCGGGGACAACGGGGGUCCCCUACCCCACUGGCCCAGCCCCCCGCCGUCCUCACGGAUCCAUUUGGGGUUUUCCUGAGGCCACAUGGGGGCAGACUGGGGCUCCCCAGGACCAGGGGCUACAGAGAGGGGUCCUCCACUGGGAGCCCCAUGACUCCAUCCCAGACCGAUCAUUAGGGACUCAACUCCCAUCUUUCCAUUGUAUUAAUAUUUCAGCUUUUAGUGACGUGUUAAGAAAUGAGUGCUAAUUAAUAAAAGUUGUGUAAUGGUAACAAGCUCUUCCUCUGCCUGUGUCUCGACCGCCCUCCCAUCCACCUCCUGAUGUUGGCUGGAGUUCUUGUCCUGUCCGGAGUGAAUGGUGUUCAUAGGACAGGACCUAGUGAGAGAGAGAGCUCUGCCCUCGACUGCAGCGCCUGGCGUUCACAGGACAGGGCCCAGGGAGAGAGAGCUCUGCCCUCGACUGCAGCGCCUGGCGUUCAUGAGACAGGGCUCAGAGAGAGAAAGAGAGCUCUGCUCUCGACUGCAGUGCCUGGUGUCCAGGAACAAGGCGCCGGGCCCCGUUAAGACUGAGCAGCACAGAGACACGGACAGUCUGCUCCUCUGAAGAACAGGUUUAUUCUGCAGUCUGUACAGAUCAUCCUCAUAAAACUCUUUAUACAGUAUGUACAAAUUAAAUUAAUCCUCCACACUCCACUGCUGUAGUCCGAACAGAGCCUGCCCCCCCCUCCUCCCCCCCCUUCGCAGAGAUUAAUAACCCAACAGAGAAAAAAAAAAUACAAAAAGAAGAAAAAGACAAGCCUGUUAUAUGCAUGACCCUCCCCCGCGGCAGCACAGUGCGCAGAUACAGGAGGGACAAGAUUACCCCGAUGGCAGCCGGGAUCCCUUUCCUCAGCAGUCUGCUCCAUUUAGGAAUUUUGUCCCUCCCGCGACACAGGACUCUGUGUACCAGUGCAGCAGGGUAAAUGAAACACUGUAGAAUUUAAAAUCUCUCCCUGUGCAGCUGUGCCUGAGCCAGCCUGUGUCUUCACCCAGUGUUGUGUUUGUCCAGGGACCUCUGAGAGCUGGUAAAACGUGGAGCGGAUCAGGCUGCUGGGAAACGGGACCUGGCCUUUUCACAUCAUCGCGCGCAGGCGGUUUCUGUGCCAUGGACAAAUGCCGCACUACACGUGGGUGUGUGUCGCUGAGCAGUGUCCCAGUAUAGCAGUGUGUGUAGCCAGGGUACAGUGUACACUGUGUGUGUAGCCUGGGUACAGUGUACACUGUGUGUGUAACAGUGUGUGUAGCCUAGGUACAGUGUACACUGUGCGUGUGGCAGUGUGUGGAGCCUGGAUACAGUGUACACUGUGUGUGUAACAGUGUGUGGAGCCUGGAUACAGUGUACACUGUGUGUGAGGAGUGUGUGUAGCCUGGGUACAGUGUACACUGUGUGUUUAACAGUGUGUCCAGUGCACACUGUGUGUUUAACAGUGUGUCCAGUGCACACUGUGUGUUUAACAGUGUGUCCAGUGCACACUGUGUUUUACAGUGUGUGUAGCCAGGGUAGUGUACACUGUGUGUUUUACAGUGUGUGUAGCCAGGGUAGAGUGUACAC